GAUGAAGAACGCAGCGAAAUGCGAUAAGUAAUGUGAAUUGCAGAAUUCAGUGAAUCAUCGAAUCUUUGAACGCACAUUGCGCCCCCUGGUAUUCCGGGGGGCAUGCCUGUCCGAGCGUCAUUACAACCCUCAAGCUCAGCUUGGUGUUGGGCCCCGCCGCCCCGGCGGGCCUUAAAGUCAGUGGCGGUGCCGUCCGGCUCCGAGCGUAGUAAUUCUUCUCGCUCUGGAGGUCCGGUCGUGUGCUUGCCAGCAACCCCCAAUUUUUUUCAGGUUGACCUCGGAUCAGGUAGGGAUACCCGCUGAACUUAAGCAUAUCAAUAAGCGGAGGA
rnacentral:misc_RNA from 1 species